AGCCAGAAACCCCUUAGCAAAAAGUACUUUAGUUUAUUUCCCCGAAACUAAGCGAGCUACUCCAAGGCAGUUUGAUUUAUAGGACCCCCCCCCGUCUCUGUGGCAAAAGAGUGGGAAGAACUUUGAGUAGAGGUGACAGACCUACCGAGCCUAGUUAUAGCUGGUUGCCUGAGAACUGAAUAGAAGUUCAGCCCUUUAAAUUCCUUACUCCCAUUGGCCCAAAGCCUCCACGCCGAACAAAAGAAGUUAAAGGAGUUAGUCAAAGGGGGUACAGCCCCUUUGAAACAAGAUACAACUUUCCAAGAAGGGUAAAGAUCACAACAGACUUAAAGGUUUAAUGCUCUAGUGGGCCUAAAAGCAGCCAUCUACCCAGAAAGCGUUAAAGCUCAAGCAUUACACAAUCAGCCUUCUAAUAAAGACAGCACAAUCUCACCCCUCUAAACCUAUCAGGCCAUUCCAUAAAAAUAUGGAAGCAUUAAUGCUAGUAUGAGUAAUAAGAGAAUCUCCCUCUCUCCCCGCACAAGUGUAACUCGGAACGAACCCCUCACCGACCAUUAACGGCCCCAAAACAAAGAGGGACUUAGACAAAAAACAAACAACCAGAAAAUCAUCUAACCCCCCCACCGUUAACCCCACACUGGUGUGCCAACCAGGAAAGACUAAAAGGAAAAGAAGGAACUCGGCAAACACAAGCCUCGCCUGUUUACCAAAAACAUCGCCUCUUGUACCUUGAAAUAUAAGAGGUCCCGCCUGCCCUGUGACUGUAA
rnacentral:rRNA from 1 species